rnacentral:rRNA from 1 species
UACGUAGGUGGCAAGCGAUACUCGGAAUCACUAGGCGUAAAGCGCAGGUAGGCGGUUUGGUAAGUCUUUUGUGAAAGCUCCCGGCUCAACUGGGAGAGGUCAAGGGAAACUACCAGACUAGAGUGUGGUAGGGGAUACUGGAAUUCCUGGUGUAGCGGUGAAAUGCGCAGAUAUCAGGAGGAACACCGGUGGCGAAGGCGGGUCUCUGGGCAAUAACUGACGCUGGAGGAGCGAAAAGCGUGGGGAGCGAACAGG